rnacentral:rRNA from 1 species
GACGAACGCUGGCGGCGUGCCUAAUACAUGCAAGUAGAACGCUGAAGACUUUGGCUUGCUAAAGUUGGAAGAGUUGCGAACGGGUGAGUAACGCGUAGGUAACCUGCCUACUAGCGGGGGAUAACUAUUGGAAACGAUAGCUAAUACCGCAUAACAGCAUUUAACCCAUGUUAGAUGCUUGAAAGGAGCAAUUGCUUCACUAGUAGAUGGACAUGCGUUGUAUUAGCUAGUUGGUGAGGUAACGGCUCACCAAGGCGACGAUACAUAGCCGACCUGAGAGGGUGAUCGGCCACACUGGGACUGAGACACGGCCCAGACUCCUACGGGAGGCAGCAGUAGGGAAUCUUCGGCAAUGGGGGCAACCCUGACCGAGCAACGCCGCGUGAGUGAAGAAGGUUUUCGGAUCGUAAAGCUCUGUUGUAAGAGAAGAACGUGUGUGAGAGUGGAAAGUUCACACAGUGACGGUAACUUACCAGAAAGGGACGGCUAACUACGUGCCAGCCGCCGCCGUAA